rnacentral:lncRNA from 1 species
GCCGUGCCCAGGAAGCGGGAGCAGGAAGCUGUGGGGCCGCGGGGAUGGUGGGCAGCGGCCCGGCGGUAUGGAAUGGCAGAACUGGUAGAAGCAGGAUACGAUGUUCGCCAACCAGACAAAGAAAAUGUGACUCUUCUUCAGUGGGCAGCAACAAACAGCAGACAGGAGGAGCUGGUGAAAUAUUACAUUUCCAAAGGUGCGUAGUGGAUCAGCUUGGUGGAGAUUUGAAUUCUGCGCCCCUGCACUGGGCCAUUAGGUAAUGCUGCUUGCAACCACUAGUUGCAAAUCUCUCGGUAUUGACAGCUGUGGUAGCGUUUUCUGAGAUCCGCAGAACAAAGCACUGCUUGGCUGGAGAAAACAUAUGCUGAAAUAAUUCUUCUGGGAAAACUUGUCCGAGUGCAAAUUCUCCCAUUGGAAGAUCAGUGUUUUCUUCUGGAUGGUCAGUCUUUUGCCAGAGUCAGAGACUUGGAUGACUGCUCAGAGGAGAAACUACUGUAGAAUAACCUCUGUAUUCUAAAUGAACACUUUGCCCUAGGCUCAUUCAUUAAGGUAUAUAUUUAAUAUAAUUUGCUGAAAAAGCCAUGAGAAUCUGAGAGAAAACUGGUUUUUGUGUGGUCUCUAUGAGAACUAUAAGGGCAAUGCUUUCAAUAAAAUAUCAGGUUUUUAAAUCAUCUCUAUAGUUUCACUUCACACCUCGUUAUAGACAAGGACACCUUCCCAGGGGACAGCAGCAUCCAAAGGAGCUGUGCAGGGAUGUGCAGAUGCCAAAAGGGACUCUAGGGCAGUUGGACACGCUCCAGCGGGCUCAGCCCCCCGUGCUGGGGCAGGGAAAGAGCAUG